CACGGGGGGAGCAAGCGUUGUUCGGAAUCACUGGGCGUAAAGGGCGUGUAGGCGGUUUGGUAAGUGGAAUGUGAAAUCCCCCGGCUUACCCGGGGACCUGCAUCCCAUACUGCCAAGCUUGAGUACGGGAGAGGAUGAGGGAAUUCCUGGUGUAGCGGUGAAAUGCGUAGAUAUCAGGAGGAAUACCGGUGGCGAAGGCGGCAUCCUGGACCGACAUUGACGCUGAGGAGCGAAAGCUAGGGGAGCAAACGGG
rnacentral:rRNA from 1 species